rnacentral:miRNA from 1 species
CCCGUGUGCAGCAGCGGCGGCGGCGGUAGAGGCGGCGGCGGCGGCGGCGGCGGCGGCGGCGGCAGCGGCAGUGG